CACGUAGGGCGCAAGCGUUGUCCGGAAUUAUUGGGCGUAAAGAGCUCGUAGGUGGUUUGCUGCGUCCGCUGUGAAAACCCAAGGCUUAACCUUGGGCUUGCAGUGGAUACGGGCAGACUAGAGGUAGGUAGGGGAGAAUGGAAUUCCCGGUGUAGCGGUGAGAUGCGCAGAUAUCGGGAGGAACACCGGUGGCGAAGGCGGUUCUCUGGGCCUUACCUGACACUGAGGAGCGAAAGCGUGGGGAGCGAACAGG
rnacentral:rRNA from 1 species